rnacentral:rRNA from 1 species
UUGAAAGGGAAACGAUUGAAGUCAGUCGUACCGGCGGGUAAUCAGCCUUUUGGGUGUGAUUAUGUGGAGCGUGAGGAGUUAAUCACCCUCAUCUUUGCAUAUUCGUGCACUUUGGGUGUACUUGCUCGUGUGGUAGGUUAACAUCAAUUUUGAUCGUCAUAAAAUGAUUGGGGGAAUGUAGCUUCGAUCUCGUAUUGAAGUGUUAUAGCCUUCGGUAGAUGUGAUGAUUGGGAUUGAGGAUUGCAACGGAUACCCUUCGGGGCUACCUGUCUGAUCUCUGAAAGUUGCUCUGGUGCUGAAAGCUUGCUUACGGUAUCAAAGUUGACGUUCAACAGGUUAGAACGGGAUAAAUUCGUUAAGGAUGUUGACGUA